GUUCAACUAAAGGCUAUUGGGGUGGACCUUUGAGAAAUGUGUUCUACCUCUGGCUCUGUGUUAGCUUCCUCUGCUUGUUGAUUAGUCCCAUGUGAGAAGUCAGUUCUAGCAAGUUCUACAACCAUAGACCUCUUCUACCCACAAUACCUUCUCCAUCACGAGGGAUUCCCUUGAACCAUGAGCUCAAACAAACCUUUCCUUACGUUGCUUCUCAGGUAUGCUGUUGAAAUGACAACCAAAACUGGCAAAAUCCUUGAGAUUAUCUCAGAGGAGAUUCCUGAAGGAAAAGGAGACAGUUAACUACCCCGAGGGCUGAUGAGCUUGGUCUCUUGGGAGAAGAGCUCUAAAGCCAGGAACCAACGUCCUUCUCAGAGCUAUCCUACCUUACAGAUCCCUGGAUUGUCACAGCUGAGGAGAGAUCCAGUAACUGGAGUAGGCAGAGACCAGAGAAAGCACGGUAGAAGCCAAGGGCCCAAGAGGCAGGUCGGAGUCUGGUUUGUGGAGUGUCGAGGUGUCUUGUCUGCAACAGGAGGAAAGAGGAAGCAUUCUUUCAGGCUAUGUUCCAGAUGCAAAAAGCAAUGCCCUGCCAGUGCUUGCUACCACACGGAUGGACGGGCCAUUAAAAACAUGGUCCUCACGCCCUCGUUAGCCAGUUCAAGAGGCAAGACACGGAAAAACUACAGGCUGCAUGAUUUAACUUGUAGAAUUUGCCAGAAUUCCCCCCAGACAAAUCCCCUGAGAAAGAAAGGACAAGUCUGGGGGGCUUGCAGGGAGCGGUGACUUCUGGAAGUGUUCUUGCUGCUGAUUUCCUGUGUCCUAUGACCAACAUAUAUGCUGUCUUCAAGUUCUAGUGGGCAACCAAGAGCAAUGGUUUCAUCUUCCUUCGGGAGACACAGGCAUGAUGCUUUCUGUUGGCCUGGGGCCGCAGCUACCAGAGAAAAGCAGGCUCGAGGUUUGGUUUCCCUCAAUGCAGCAGUAUUUCCUCAGUGUGCAGGAGCAGGAGUUUUUGUUGAGACAGAAAGGACUCCUGAGAUAAAAGAUGCUUUUGAAAUGGUGGCAUCCUUUUACCUGGACCAUAAGAUAAGUCUAGGCCUCCGUCUCAUGGAAUGAUGUCGCCUCCCUUAGGAUGGGUCUUCCCUUCUCAAGUCAUCCUUCCCAGAAAACAUCUUCAUAGAUAAACAGGAUGUGACUCCAAAGCCAGUGAAAUUGAGCCAUCCUGAUGCUAUUGUCUCAAUCGUUGCUAUGUAGGCUGGGGCUCACAGCAUGGAGUGAGGUCAUAGUGUUGAUCAAGUAGCAGAAAUGGAAGCUUACAGAACUUGAACCCACCAUGGUAUAUGCCAGCGAGGGCCGCCGUUAUCUCUGCAGUUUUGAGCACUGGUGAUAUGUCAGAUCACAGCUUACAGUGUCAUUACGUAUGCCAGCAUUCAGUUUUGUCAAGUUUGUCAGGUUGUCAAGGCAGCAGUGACACUGGGCAGUGGUCUCCUAUUCCUGUGAUUUCAUAUAUCCAAAGGUAUUUGGGGGCUAUAGAGAUAGCUCAGUGGGUGAAUUCUUACUGUUCGACAAUGAGGAUCUUAAUUCAAGCCCUUAAGUCCCGUGUGAAAACUCAGACGUGGCUAACCUGCACACACAACCCCAGCACUGUAGGAGGUGGGGACAGAAGGAUCUGCCUGCCUUGCUGGCUGCCACGUUCACCGAGAGACCCUGUCUCAAAGAAUACGGUAGAGAGGGGUAGAACAGAACAUCUAAUGUCUUAAUGUCUUCUGGCUACUGAGUGAGCACACACAUGUAUUUACACUACACUCAAUGCACAUGUUACACACACAUACAC
rnacentral:lncRNA from 1 species